rnacentral:piRNA from 1 species
GACAAAGAGAUAAAGAGAAAGCAGCUGGGCCC